rnacentral:rRNA from 1 species
ACGAACGCUGGCGGCGUGCCUAAUACAUGCAAGUCGAGCGGACUAAUUAAGAGCUUGCCCUUAUGAGGUUAGCGGCGGACGGGUGAGUAACACGUGGGCAACCUGCCCUGUAGACUGGGAUAACAUCGAGAAAUCGGUGCUAAUACCGGAUAAUUGUUGGAACUGCAUAGUUCUAACUUAAAAGAUGGCUCCGGCUAUCACUAUAGGAUGGGCCCGCGGCGCAUUAGCUAGUUGGUAAGGUAAUGGCUUACCAAGGCGACGAUGCGUAGCCGACCUGAGAGGGUGAUCGGCCACACUGGGACUGAGACACGGCCCAGACUCCUACGGGAGGCAGCAGUAGGGAAUCUUCCGCAAUGGACGAAAGUCUGACGGAGCAACGCCGCGUGAGUGAUGAAGGUUUUCGGAUCAUAAAGCUCUGUUGUUAGGGAAGAACAAGUGCCGUUCGAAUAGGGCGGCACCUUGACGGUACCUAACCAGAAAGCCACGGCUAACUACGUG